rnacentral:rRNA from 1 species
UACGAAGGGGGCUAGCGUUGUUCGGAAUUACUGGGCGUAAAGCGCGCGCAGGCGGUCUUCCAAGUCAGUGGUGAAAGCCUGGAGCUCAACUCCAGAACUGCCAUUGAAACUGUUGGACUUGAGUACGAGAGAGGUGAGUGGAAUUCCCAGUGUAGAGGUGAAAUUCGUAGAUAUUGGGAAGAACACCAGUGGCGAAGGCGACUUACUGGACACAUAUUGACGCUGAGGUGCGAAAGCGUGGGGAGCAAACAGG